GUCAGCAGCCAUAUCACCUUGCAACUCACAGCUGGUAACCCACUGAAGCUCAGCAGGUGUGAGCCUGGUCAGUACCUGGAUGGGAGACCUCCUGGAAAAAACUAAGGCUGCUGCUGGAA
rfam:Lepisosteus oculatus linkage group LG6, whole genome shotgun sequence.